rnacentral:rRNA from 1 species
UACGUAGGAUCCAAGCGUUGUCCGGAUUUACUGGGUGUAAAGCGUGCGCAGGCGGUCUGUUAAGUCAGCUGUGAAAUCCCCGGGCUCAACCUGGGAAUGGCAGUUGAGACUGGCAGGCUGGAGUGUGUCAGAGGGGGGUAGAAUUCCACGUGUAGCAGUGAAAUGCGUAGAGAUGUGGAGGAAUACCGAUGGCGAAGGCAGCCCCCUGGGCCAACACUGACGCUCAUGCACGAAAGCGUGGGGAGCAAACAGG